rnacentral:tmRNA from 1 species
GCCCUUGCGUCCGCCCCCCGGGCCUCCUAUAUUCCCCCUUGUCCGGGGCGACCCGGACUAUGGCGAUAAACGCACCUGUAAUAGACGGCUCGGACCCGGGGGCGGUACCCGGCGGCUCCACCAAAACCCCCGUUCAUUGCGGGCAGAUGGGGCCGAAAUAGGAUCGACGGACGUUCAAAGAGGCCAGCUUUCGCUCGGUGAGGUACCACCGUUAUCGGUCCAAGAUCACAGUUGCCAAUGACAACCGUGCUCCGGUGGCGCUGGCUGCGUAAGCGGCUCGCAAUACCAAAUCCAAGUCCUUCCGCUUAGCCGCGGAAGGCGGGGUCCGCAGGCACCUGGCAACAGAAGCCUGCACC